rnacentral:rRNA from 1 species
CAGUAGCCGCGGUAAUACGAAGGGUGCAAGCGUUACUCGGAAUUACUGGGCGUAAAGCGUGCGUAGGUGGUGGUUUAAGUCCGCUGUGAAAGCCCUGGGCUCAACCUGGGAAUUGCAGUGGAUACUGGGUCACUAGAGUGUGGUAGAGGAUAGUGGAAUUUCCGGUGUAGCAGUGAAAUGCGUAGAGAUCGGAAGGAACAUCUGUGGCGAAGGCGACUAUCUGGGCCAACACUGACACUGAGGCACGAAAGCGUGGGGAGCAAACAGGAUUAGAUACCCGAGUAGUCCCUGUCUCUUAUAC